CCAAACAACACCUACAGAUCCAAACCUGAUCUCCCUUGCAGAAACACUGAUUGAGAAAUUGUUAAGCCCCGUCACUGAUUAUUUCAUGUAUCAUGUUCAGGGCAAAAGCAAGACCGUGCAUUCUUCAUCAUUGCAACAGUUUACUCUUCCGCGGUCCUCUGUACAAGGUUGUUUUUCUGGCUUCUAAGUGUCUGGAGGAAAGAAAAAAGAAGUAAGCAUACUAGCCUUACAGGAAAAAUCAAAUGUUUUCUUCUUCUAAAUUUCCAACUAUAUGUAAAAAUUAAUGGAGAGAUGAUAUUUAGGAAAAAUAAACACAAUAGAGGAGCCUGAGAACAUGGAUGAAGUACUUAGGCUAUGGAGGACCGAAGACACUAGUUCAGAGUUCUCAUUGUAUGAUUUCUCUCAGAUUGCUGAUGCUACAGACAACUUCUCACCCAAAAGUAAACUAGGAGAGGGUGGAUUUGGCCCAGUUUACAAGGUAUUUCCUUGCAAUUACUACGGUCAGGCACCAAUAUCAUGAAAUUUAGAUGGCUACAUAUAAACAUGGAGCGAUGAACUUUGCAGGGAGUAUUUCCUGAUGGACAAGAGCUAGCAAUAAAAAGACUGUCUGCUCGGUCACAGCAAGGUCUAAUAGAGUUCAAGAAUGAGAUCCAGGUUAUAACAAAACUUCAACACAGAAACCUUGUUAGGCUGCUUGGCUGUUGCAUCCAUGGAGAAGAGAAGAUGCUGGUCUACGAAUACCUGACCAACAAAAGCUUGGACCACUUCAUUUUUGGCAUGAGCUUACUCUAAAAUGCUUAUUCCAUAAUUGCAUUUGUUCUGGUAUGCAGAACUAACACUUGGUCUUCUGUCACAUUGCUUGUAGAUCCAAUCAGACGAGCAUCACUUAAAUGGAAGAUGCGAAUUAAAAUAGUUGAAGGUAUAUCCCAAGGGCUUCUGUACCUUCACAAUCACUCACGACUACGCAUAAUCCAUAGGGACUUGAAAGCAAGCAAUAUUCUGUUAGAUUCUGAACUAAACCCUAAGAUUUCUGAUUUUGGAAUGGCAAGGAUAUUUCCGUCAGAUGCCACUCAAGCAACAGCAAGCAGACUUGUGGGCACAUUGUAAGGGCAUUAAAGUAGUUUUGUUACUAAUGUUUCUAUGCGUUUGCUUUCUGACUUCUCACAUGCCACCUUGUUCUAGUGGAUACAUGGCCCCUGAAUAUGCAUCUGAUGGCCUUCUCUCAAUCAAAUCAGAUGUUUUCAGUUUUGGGGUCCUGCUUCUUGAGAUUAUAAGUGGAAAGAGGAGUUCGGGUUUUCAGUACAAUGGAGAAUUCUACAACCUCCUUGAGUAUGUAAGCAGCUAAGAACUAACAAUCUGCAAAAUCAGUGGAACAUUUAUUGUUUUCCCUUAUAAUAAGAUUGUAUACAUAUAAACAUAUCAGUUACCAUUAAUACUGUGGUUAUAUUGCAUCCUACAUUCUUUCUUUCCAUAAAGUAUAGGGCAUCAAGUAUAGUGCAGUUUCCUCUAUCUCCCUGUUGUAUUCCCUUACAUUUGUAGCUAGAUCUAACAGCAUAAAGAUAUACCAUAAUACGCUGCUAUGCAUGUAAAAAUCUUUUUUUUCUAUUCAGGCCUGGCAACUGUGGAAAGGUAGGAGAUGGAGUGAGUUCAUUGAUAAAUCAUUUGGUGAUGAAUAUGAAAUGGAAGAGCUGGUGAAAUAUCUUGCUGUGGCAUUGAUGUGUGUUCAAGAAAAAGCAAUGGAUCGUCCCACAAUGCGUGAUGUUGUUGCACUUCUUAGCAGCGAUGGCAUCACAAUGCCAGAACCAAAGCAACCAGCUUACUCCUAUGCUAAAUUAGAUGAGUCGGUAAAUGUCACUGUAUUGAGUAGCAGAAACGAUGUAACCAUCACUACUAUAAAUGGCAGAUAGUAGAAUGUGGGUACUGUUCAUGAAGUGUGAACUACAGGUCUUGGCCAUCCUCCUUGUGUUAAUUAACUGUAAAGGCAUUGUGUUCCGCAGUUUCUCACCAGUUAACCUGUUAGGCUGAUUUGACUAGUGGUUUUAUGUGUCUAACAAGAUUUUUCUUAUUAUACCGUACAAACAGCGUGAGACUGAAUUAAUUUAUAUUUCAGUUCCAAACUGCCUACCGCUAGCACAUAAGCCACGUUCUGUUGUUACAAUGAAUCACAAUUCCACACAAUAGAUAGCAUUUGUUAGGAUAUAUCAUAAAUCUGUGCAUGGUCUUUUUCAGUCUUUCUUUCUUUCUUUCUUUUUUUCAGUGUCAGACAUAUUUUAAGCAUGAGCAAUUUUAGAAGGCGUAAUCAAGAAGUAUGAAAGCACCUGGAAUGUAGUCAAGUCCAAGUUUUCAAAAAAAAAUGUAGUCAAGUCCAAUGCUCACGAUGAAAUGGAGUCUGCUGUUCACUAGGGAAUGUAGACAGGUCCACUAGUCUACCUCUGGCUUCCAACGCACGAGACAGCUCUCUGGACCAGUCUUCUGUGGAAAAUAUGGGCAUGUCACCAUCUAUCAAUAUAUAUAGCAAAGAAUGAGUCUUAGCAAUCAUUUUCCACUAACAGAUUCAAUGGAACCUACGCUUGACUUUUGAAUUCCUUUACCUCUUGGUAGAUGAAGCCAAAAUGAUGCUUGGCACUCAUGUGUGACUUCUUGACGAGCAAUCCUGCAAUAUGGAUAAGACCAAAGGCCAUGGUACUUCAGUUUCACUUACCAAUCAAUAUGCUACCGUUAUCUCUCCUAUUCCUCUUCCUCUCCUGCCCAGCACCAUUGGCUGGCCAAACCUUCUGCAGUAAUCAUAAUGGUGCCAGGUACAUACCAUACAACACCUACAAUAUCCAAACUGAUCUCCCAUGCUGAAACACUGAUUGCCCGCACUGUAGAGAUGCACUUUUAGUUGUCUUCUCAAACUACAACUCAUUGGACUUAUGCAUUGAUGUACAGACAACACAGCUAAUAUCUUGGUUGGAGUUGGAGUGUUCCUAAUGGUAAUAUUUAUUUCUUGCUUGGUUUUUCAUCUAUGGAUCAAAACACAGCAACAGAGAGGUAUGAAUUAACAUAACAGCAGAUCAACAGCAUAAACCGUUAUUGUUCUCUUACAUGUAUCGACAGCAUAAAGUUUCAAUAUUGUUUUUCAGAACAAGCAAUAUUAAAAUUACGACAACUGUCUUUGGCAAUACAAAGUGUGACAAAUUUAUGGAGGAUGGAAGGCAGCAACAACUUGGAAUUUUCAAAGUAUGAUUACUCUUACAUAAAAGAAGCUACAAAUAACUUUUCGAUUGAUAACAAAUUGGGGCAAGGUGGCUUUGGCCCUGUGUACAAGGUAUUAUGUCCUUAUAUUGCAAAUGGACCCCUAAAAUGAAUUAACAUUACAUUGUUGAUACAAAUAUAAUGCCUUUUCUAUAUUGUUGUAGAGAUAUCUUCUGCGAUGGUGCAUAAGUUAUUUUUUGUGACUAAACAAAAUGAAUAUCAAUUUCCAGUAGAAUAAGUUAUGAAGUUAUGAAAAAUAACUUGUUUUCCUUUCAAUCAAUCCCAGGGCCGAUUGAGCAGUGGAAUUAAAAUAGCAGUCAAGAGGCUAGAAACAUGUUCUUUACAAGGUUUACUGGAAUUCCAAAAUGAAAUUCAGCUUAUAUCAAAGCUUCAACACAAAAAUCUCGUUAAGCUGCUGGGUUACUGCACUAAAGGAGAUCAAGAAAAGAUGCUUGUAUAUGAAUACAUGGAAAAUAAAAGUCUAGACUGCUUCAUAUUUGGCAAGACUCAUCGCUUCUACAUGUGUAAUGUUGUUUAUAGUAUGUCAACAGCUUUGAUGAAUUAUACAUAUUUUGCAGAAAAUGUGAAGGGAGCACAACUAAACUGGUCAAAACGUCUGCACAUAAUUGAUGGGAUAGCUCAUGGGCUUCUUUACCUUCACAACUAUUCACGAAUAUGUGUUGUUCAUAGGGAUUUGAAAGCAAGUAAUAUUCUCUUGGACAGUGAAAUGAAUCCAAGAAUAUCUGAUUUUGGGAUGGCUAGAAUAUUCUGCUCAAAUGUGAAAGAAUCAAAUACAACCAGAAUAGUGGGCACACGGUAAGAACAUAUGGAUCUAUGCAUUUUAAGUACACGAAAUAUUCAUAGAGGCACUUCUUUUGGAAAAAAUGGACAUUGUAUGAUAGCAUAUCAUCAACUUAAUUUAUAAAUUCCUCCCUUUUUGCAUUACUGACACAAAUUUAAAUUCUGACACUCAGUGGCUACAUACCUCCUGAGUACGCUUUUCAUGGGAUUUGCUCUAUCAAAUCGGAUGUUUUUAGCUUUGGCGUAUUGACGUUGGAAAUAAUAAGUUCAAAGAGGACAGCGCAAUUCUAUGAAUACAAUGGAAAGCUAUAUAAUCUCAUCUCAUAUGUGAGUGUAAUUGAUCUCAACACCAUCCAGAACUUUUACCUAUGCAGACCCAUUUGCCUCAUUUUACUUGUUUCACAAAACACGCUACUUUGGCAGGCUUGGCAACUUUGGAGUGAUGAAAAAUUGGGUGAGUUGAUUUAUUCUCCUUCAGGCAAUGGACACCAUGAGAUAGAAAGAUGCAUUCAUGUGGCACUUUUAUGCGUCCAAGAAAGUGCAGAGCAUCGACCUGAUAUGGAGCGAGUUAUCACAAUGCUAAACACUAAGGAUGUGAACUUACCCAAUCCUGCGCAACCAGCUUACUUCCAUGUAAAUCCUAGUGAGGAAGAAGUUUUGUCAUGCAGCGCUACUAUGAGUAUCACGCUAGAAAGGUAGAACCACAUUGUCAUCAAUUCUGACAGAAAUGCUGGUAUUAUCUUCAUCAAGAUGAACAUAUUUGCGUUGAUAAUCAUAUGAGUAAGCUUGAUUGUUAUGGAUAUUUCUUUAAUAGAACAGACAUUUUUUACCAAUUUGUUCGGAUAUGUAAAACCAUUGCUGGGCUGAAUCUUUGACAUUUCAACCUUGUGUCUUAAACAACAAAAUGAGGGCGUCCUGAGCAUGAAACAACAGCACCGGUUUGUGUUCUUGAGCUACUUUAUUCCUAGAAGGAACUUCACAACAAGUAAUACUACAUGACAAUGAUGUCCUCUUGGAUUAGACGAAAUUCAUGGGCACGAACUUGCUUCUCUUCCCCCCUCCUUCUCUCCUAACUCUGUAAUCAUACUGGUAUUUCCGUUCUUCGCAAUGGAAAUGGGGGAAGCCUCGAUUCAAAAAAACAAACAAACUGCAAUUGGGAAUUGGGAAUCACAUAAUGGGGAUACAGAUUAUUUGAGCAACAGACGGCACCGCCCACUGGUGAAUGCCUACGAAUCCCGAAGCCAAUGCUAGCUCUGACUCGAAAGCAGAAGCGAAAAGAGAGGACUCGUGGAGCCGAACCUGGGUCUGGGUUCCCCUUCCCCUUGGAGCAAGCAAGGUCACCAGGCGCGUGGCCCUGAAGCCGCUACCCUACCCCGCGUCGUGGACAGGGCGCUCGCCUGGCGGUCGUCGGCGCAACGCAACCGCGCAAGGGACUGAAGCUGAACGCCGCCUCGCCGUCGGCCUCCUGCUGCCCCGGGCACCUCUUGGCUGUGGUGGGCUCAUGGAGCAGAGCCGAACGCAAUAUGGGCCGGGCAUGUUCAAUCUUUUUUAGUCUUCUUGAGUGGACUGAGCAGAAAAUAAAUGGCACGAUCUCCCUUCUCUCUCGGUGCGACGCGCCGACGGCAACAUGCCAACAUCGUGCGACGGGUAUGCGUGACGCUGCCCAUGCAUUGGUUGAUACAGAAAGCCAUCGCCGUGGACACAUUUUCCACCAGGAUGGAGUGGGAACCGGUGCCAAGACUGCAAGGCACCAA
rnacentral:lncRNA from 1 species